AACGAACGCUGGCGGCAGGCUUAACACAUGCAAGUCGAACGGGCACCUUCGGGUGUCAGUGGCAGACGGGUGAGUAACGCGUGGGAACGUACCCUUCGGUUCGGAAUAACCCAGGGAAACUUGGGCUAACACCGGAUACGUCCGCAAGGAGAAAGAUUUAUCGCCGAAGGAUCGGCCCGCGUCGGAUUAGCUAGUUGGUGGGGUAAUGGCCCACCAAGGCGACGAUCCGUAGCUGGUCUGAGAGGAUGANCAGCCACACUGGGACUGAGACACGGCCCAGACUCCUACGGGAGGCAGCAGUGGGGAAUAUUGGACAAUGGGCGAAAGCCUGAUCCAGCCAUGCCGCGUGAGUGAAGAAGGCCUUAGGGUUGUAAAGCUCUUUCAGCGGGAAGAUAAUGACGGUACCCGCAGAAGAAGUCCCGGCUAACUUCGU
rnacentral:rRNA from 1 species